rnacentral:rRNA from 1 species
GUCCACGCCGUAAACGGUGAGUGCUAGACGUCGCGGGUAUUGACCCCCGCGGUGUCGAAGCUAACGCGUUAAGCACUCCGCCUGGGGAGUACGGCCGCAAGGCUAAAACUCAAAGGAAUUGACGGGGGCCCGCACAAGCGGUGGAGCAUGUGGUUCAAUUCGAAGCAACGCGCAGAACCUUACCUGGGCUUGACAUCAUGGAGAACCCUCCGGAAACGGAGGGGUGCCCUUCGGGGAGCUCCUUGACAGGUGCUGCAUGGCUGUCGU